GUCAGCUGUGAGCAAAUGCUGGUUGCUCAAUCUGCUUUUAAGAAGGGAAAAAAGGGAAUGAAGUGGAAAAGAAUGCUAGAACAAGCUGUAUCAAAGGAAUGACAAAAGAACAUAUAGAAUAAAUCAUUGCUGUCCUCCUCUAAAUUCAAUUGGCAGGUUUCUGUGGCCCAUCCCAGUCCUCAACAAUGGGAUUGCCCUGUAUAUCAACCCUGUCAAUACGAUGAUCUAUUAUUUAUUCCUUCACCUGGAAGUGGCUUAUAGUUCAACAGAAACAAGCCAGACUUGUUUCAGACAUUCAACUGAAAAAAAUAUACAGCAUGAAAGGAAAAUUAAGGAAAACAAAGAACACAAUGAGAGGAAAUGUAACCAUCUUAGAUUAUGAACUCAA